rnacentral:rRNA from 1 species
UACAGAGGGUGCGAGCGUUAAUCGGAAUUACUGGGCGUAAAGCGUGCGUAGACGGUCAUGUAAGUCGGAUGUGAAAGCCCCGGGCUCAACCUGGGAAUUGCAUUCGAGACUGCAUGGCUUGGGUGCGGAAGAGGGAAGCGGAAUUUCCGGUGUAGCGGUGAAAUGCGUAGAUAUCGGAAGGAACACCAGUGGCGAAAGCGGCUUCCUGGUCCAGCACCGACGUUCAGGCGCGAAAGCGUGGGGAGCAAACAGG